UACGUAGGGGGCAAGCGUUGUCCGGAUUUAUUGGGCGUAAAGAGCGUGUAGGCGGUUAGGUAGGUCCGUUGUGAAAACUCGAGGCUCAACCUCGAGACGCCGAUGGAAACCAUCUGACUAGAGUCCGGAAGAGGGGAGUGGAAUUCCUGGUGUAGCGGUGAAAUGCGCAGAUAUCAGGAAGAACACCCGUGGCUAAGGCGGCUCUCUAGUACGGUACUGACGCUGAGACGCGAAAGCGUGGGGAGCGAACAGG
rnacentral:rRNA from 1 species